GUGCCGCGCCGCGGUACUACCGGCAGCCCGAGUGAUGACCGAUCUUAUUGGGCCUAAAGCGUCCGUAGCUGGCUACGCAAGUCCGUCGGGAAAUCCACUCGCCCAACGAGUGGGCGUCCGACGGAAACUGCAUAGCUUGGGACCGGGAGGCUCGAAGGGUACGUGCGGGGUAGGAGUGAAAUCCUGUAAUCCUGGACGGACCGCCGGUGGCGAAAGCGCCUCGGGAAGACGGACCCGACAGUGAGGGACGAAAGCUGGGAUCUCGAACCGGAUUAGAUACCCGGGUAGUCC
rnacentral:rRNA from 1 species